GGGACAAGAAGACCCUAUGAAUCUUUAAUAUUUUUUGUUAAUUAUAAUAAUUUAAAUACUUAUUUUAAUGAUAAUAUUUUGGUUGGGGCGACAGUAAAAGAUUAAGAAUCUUUUAUUAGAUCCGUUAUAAUCGAUUAAAAGAAUAAGAUACUCUAGGGAUAACAGCGUUAUUAUUUUGGAUAGUUCAUAUUGGUAAAAUAGUUUGCGACCUCGAUGUUG
rnacentral:rRNA from 1 species